rnacentral:rRNA from 1 species
UACGUAGGUGGCAAGCGUUGGUCCGGAUUUACUGGGCGUAAAGAGCGCGCAGGCGGUCGUCCAAGUCGCGUGUGAAAGCCCCCGGCUCAACUGGGGAGGGUCAGCGCGAUACUGGUCGACUCGAAGGCAGGAGAGGGUAGUGGAAUUCCCGGUGUAGCGGUGAAAUGCGCAGAUAUCGGGAGGAACACCAAUGGCGAAGGCAGCUCGCUGGGACGGUACUGACGCUGAGGAGCGAAAGCGCGGGGAGCGAACAGG